rnacentral:misc_RNA from 1 species
GAUGAAGAACGCAGUGAAAUGCGAUACUUGGUGUGAAUUGCAGAAUCCCGUGAACCAUCGAAUCUUUGAACGCAAGUUGCGCCCGAAGCCAUUAGGCCGAGGGCACGCCUGCCUGGGCGUCACACGUCGUUGCCCCCCCCAUCUACUCCUUCGGGAUUGCGGGGGGCGGAUGAUGGCCUCCCGUGCGCCUCGCCGCGCGGUAGGCAUAAAUGCCAAGUCCUCGGCGAUGCACGCCACGACAAUCGGUGGUUGCGAAACCUCGGUUGCCCGUCGUGUGCGGUCGUCGCGCAUCGAGGGCUCGAAAAAAUUGCCGGGUUCCGGCUCGGCUUUCAACGCGACCCCAGGUCAGGCGGGGUUACCCGCUGAAUUUAAGCAUAUCAAUAAGCGGAGGA